rnacentral:lncRNA from 1 species
AGUCAAAGCUGCCUCUGGGAUCCUGAAAUCCUGGUGUGACCAAGCUCCUGAGGUCCUGUAAUCCUAUGGUCUUGGGAAGGAAACGUAAAGGUUUGCCUUGCCACCUGACAAGUCUGUUGCUUCCCUUCCUGUAUGUGCAGUGACACACUCUCAGCACAGCCUCCUAGGAAUUCUAGAGACUGGUCCAUUGCCUCUGCACAGCAUCUGCAUCCACAGUGAGUUGGCACAAGCAUCCUUGGAGGAUGAGGGAGGAUACCAGUGUGUGAGCCGGGAGGAAUAAUCACUCAGAUCCUCAUCUCAGAUGGAGGCUGCAACAGAUGAAUGGACGUCCCUGAGGAGAUGGCAGGGAAGAAGGGAAUGUUGUCUUCAGGAAGAAGGAGCGCUCCCUGCUCCUUUGUGCUAGCACAGAGGCUGAGUUGAAAUGCUUUGGGGAUGAAGACUAGAAAGAGAGGGUGUCUGUUUUCUUAGUAAAGGAUUCCUUGCUAAGGACAAA